rnacentral:lncRNA from 1 species
CGAAAAUAUGGAGGAGGUGCUCAAGAGUUGGGCGUCCCUUAACUUGCCAUGUUUGGAUAAGCCUUGACUAGGUAUUUGACCUAGACAAGGACUCUAUCAUAUCUCUCUAUAUAAGAUGAGUUUCUUCAUGAAAUAUGAAGGAGAGAUAGGUUUUUGAGAGGCCUUUCUGCCAUCCAAAAAUCAGAGAGAAAUACCUUUGGGUCAUGGAGAUAUAAAAGACACAAGUUUGGGCAUCUAGAGAGAAAAACGUGAAGAAGAAGAGGGUCUUCUUCUAGGGUUUUUAUUUUCAUAUCUUUCCUCCUUCCAUCUUGAGUUUCCUGAGAGCGUCUCAGAUCUGAAACUCCUCCUUCUACUUUCCAUCUUUGGAAGAGUCUAAAUCAAAAAGAAGGAGGCACCUGAUCAACCAUCAAAGAAGGAUCAGCGCAGUACUAGCAUACUGUGCUGAUUUCCUGAAGCAGGACUUCUGAUCGAGAUUCGUGGGCUCGUGUGGACGACUCCUAGAGG